rnacentral:rRNA from 1 species
UACAGAGGGGGCAAGCGUUGUUCGGAAUUACUGGGCGUAAAGGGUGCGUAGGCGGCGCGGUAAGUCGGGUGUGAAAUCUCGGGGCUUAACUCCGAAACUGCCUUUGAUACUGAGAAGCUUGAGUCCGGGAGAGGUGAGUGGAACUGCGAGUGUAGAGGUGAAAUUCGUAGAUAUUCGCAAGACCACCAGUGGCGAAGGCGGCUUGCCAGAACGCACUCGACGGUGAGGGAUGAAAGCUGGGGGAGCAAACCGG